rnacentral:lncRNA from 1 species
AUCAUCAUCGUCAUUGCGACGACCAUAGCUAGGCUUCCUGUAACUCCCCUCUUCCUGUUCCUCAGACCUUCCAUAGCUAGGCUUCCUGUAACUCCCUUCCUCCUGAUCCUCAGAUCUUCCAUAGCUAGGCUUAAUGUAACUCUCCACCUGUUCCUCAGACCCUCCAUAACUUGGUUUCCUGUAACUACCUUCCUCCUGAUCCUCAGAUCUCCCAUAGCUAGGCUUCCUGUAACCUUCCUCUUGAUCCUCAGAUCUCCCAUAGCUAGGCUUCCUGUAACCUUCCUCUUGUUCCUCAGAUCUUCCAUAGCUAGGCUUCCUGUAGCCUUCCUCUUGAUCCUCAGAUCUUCCAUAGCUAGGCUUCCUGUAACUUCCUUCUUCCUGAUCCUCAGAUCUUCCAUAGCUAGGUUUCUUGUAACCUUCCUCUUGUUCCUCAGACCUUCCAUAGCUAGGCUUCCUGUAACCUUCUUCUUGUUCCUCAGACCUACCAUAGCUAGGCUUACGCUCAUACUCAGACUCUGAUCUGCCACCAUAUCCAGAUCCAAGACCCGAUUCAGGUCUCCUCCCAUACUCAACCUCAGUUCUUCCACCACCAGAUCCAUACUCCGAUUGAUUCUCCGUUCUACCACCAUAACUCUGCUCAGGUCUCCGACCAUACUCCGUCUCAGUUUCACCACCAUAUCCAGAUUCAGGCCUCCUACCAUACUCACUCUCCGUCUGACCACCAUAACCAGAUCCAGAUCCAUAACCAGGAUUCGGCCUCUCACCUUGAACAUGACCGCCACCACCUGAAUCGGGUCGAAAUGCGG